CAACUGUUCCGAUACUCCCGACACAUAUGGGAUCACUACAGGUUUUCGCCUGGGCAGCGGUUGUCCUUCUCUCCUGGAUCGGCUGGAGCUUUCUUUAGGUGCCUUCCCAGCUUUGACAAAAGUUUUGCUUCGUGUUUUCGUGUCCUCGUUGGCGUGUUUAGUGUAAAGACUGCAAUCACCGCACGGGGGCGCUCGGGAGCGCAUUUCACUGCGUUUGUUUUCCGCGUGGAAGAAGAAGCUCUAGUUGCUGCUGGCUCGGCGCGAUUCGGAGACGUUUGUGGCGUGCUCUGUGCUUUUGGCGGCAGUAAACUGAGCCAGAUCCGCGAGGUUCUGCUUAAUUCGCUCCUUUCUGUCUCUGCGGAGCGUUUUGAGCCGCGCAGGCGCAAUCUGUGUUACUUUCCGGACUGUUCUGGGAGCUUCCCGGGCCUCUCGCGCCAGGCAGCAUGAGUUACGGCAGGCCUCCGCCGGACGUCGACGGCAUGACUUCCCUCAAAGUGGACAAUCUAACGUACCGGACCUCUCCCGAAGCCCUCCGCCGGGUGUUUGAGAAGUACGGCCGGGUGGGGGACGUCUACAUCCCGCGAGACCGCUACACCAAGGAAAGCCGGGGCUUCGCGUUUGUUCGGUUCCACGACAAACGGGACGCCGAGGACGCGAUGGACGCCAUGGACGGCGCGCUGCUGGACGGGCGGGAGCUGCGGGUCCAGAUGGCCCGGUACGGCAGACCCCCCGACUCCCAUUACGGCGGAGGACGGCGAGGAGGAGGACCGAGCCGGAGGUACAGCGGACGGCGGAGCAGAAGCUGUUCCCCCAGCCCGAGACGCAGGAGACGGAGCAGAUCCCGCAGCAGGAGCCGCACGCCUUCUCGAAGCCGGUCCCGCUACAGCAGAUCCAGGUCCCGGUCCUACUCCAGGUCCAAGUCCCGCUCUCCCAGGACCAAGAAGACCAAGGCACGCUCUCCUUCCAGGUCUAGGUCCCGGUCCAGAUCCAGAUCCAGGUCCAGGUCCAGAAGCCGCACCCCUUCCUCCAAGAGAGGGUCCAGGUCGAGAUCUAAAAGCCAGCCAAAGUCAGCAGCAGAAAAUGGAAAUGAAACCUCGUAGAGCUGCGGUAUCCUGUUUGCUAAAGAGGAGUUUGAGCUGAGGCAGAAUGAGCAGGUACAAGGUGUGUGGCGAGCUGCAGCGACAGGGUGAAGGCAGUCAGUGUUGGUUUGGUGGUGUUGAGUUUCGGUUAAAGACGUGUGACCUCCCAGACCGGCUCCCACGCAAGCACCAGAGUCCAGCUGUGAAAGGUUAUUUUGUCUUCCGUGCUUUGGUUCAUUUCCUGUUUUUUGCUGAUUUAUUGUGAUUUUGUUUCCUUUUCAUGUCCCGAUUACAGUUUAAAUGGUGGGUUCAGACCUGGAUUUAAAAAUGAAAGCUCAUAAGAUAAAAUGUUCCACUGCUUUCAUAUUAUCAUCUCCUCUCUGGCCUGUAUCACAAAGCCACAUCUGGUGUCAUAACUGCAAUACAGUCACAUGUGUGAACCUCAGUUUCUAAUAUUACUAAACCUUCUAUAAUAACACAUCUGAUGUUUUUAGUUGAGUUUGGACACAAAGGUCUGUCCUUUGUGUCCAAACUGUCCUUUAUGAUAACAGAAGACCUUAUUUAAGCUUGAAAUUAGCUGUAAUCUCCCUUUGUGAUACAGGCCCACAAAAUAAUGCUUAAAGGAUAAUUUAUCUGUAGAUCUUCUUGGGGGUGGUGGUACGUAAAAGUGUUUAUACCUGAGCAGAGAAACACUGAGCUCCCUGCAGGCCCAGAUUCAAACCCAGAGCUGCUGUCAGAGCCACCACAGUCCAGUGAUCGCUCUUUAAAUUAGCAUCUGAAUUCACUGUUAAAACACCAAAGACUCACAAAACUAAACAGAUUAAAGUGUCCUGGUGUCCUGUGAGUUAAAAUUCCAGUUUUUGUGAACGGAGCCUGGUGUAGUGUGGAAAGACGGCGCCCAUUUCCACGACAAGCACAGCGUGUUUGGUUCGGCAGUUUCACUUCAAUUCCAGAGAUGGCUGUGUUCACAGCUGUAUGUGGACUUAGUCUGCGUGGGGGUGUGGCCUGCUGUCAUACGCAGCAGGUGACACCUCAGAUGACCUCACCUUAAAGAAAUGGAGUGAUUUAAAUCAGCAGAAAGAAAACAGUGAAGUCCAUUACUGCGUUUCCUGGAAGCUGCAGCAGCUCCUGAGUGACACACAAACUCCUUUUUUUUUAAAUUACUUAAUGUUUUCUUUAUUUUAACCUUUGUGUACAGCGCUUUGACUGCCUGUCUGCGAAAAGCGCUUAAUAAAUAAACCUUACCUUACUUAUCAACAAAAUCAACAUUUAUAUUGAUUAGACGGCUUUAAUGAAAAUACGAGUCACACACAAGUCAUUUUAAAUGUUCGAAAGGAAAGAACGGAUCGGGAGCUUCUUCAGAAGCUGCAGGGAAGCUCAGGCCGUCCAGCGCUGCUCCUUAAAUUCCCAAAUCUCUGAAAAAGAGACGGAAAUCGGCCUGAACCAAGCCAGAAUUAUACUUUAAGCAUCCAUUUGUUUUCUGUCGCACCUCCACCUGCUUUUCUUGUCUGAUAAAGUGACAUGAAACACUUUUACCCUGUAGAACUGUAGCUUUUUAUUUUCAGUGUGUUUAUUUAGCUUUUUAAUUGAAUUUCCGCAUUUAAAAAAAACACAAACUUUACAUUAGUGCAGCUCAGUGUUUGUUAUUCCAACCUUUUCAGGACAGACGCACACUGACGCCUUUGUUCCUUUUUUAAUGCUAACCCUGCUCGUGUGUUUCUUUGUGCACUAGGCGCAGUUGUGUAGCAGUUGAGUUUUGCUGGUUAGCUGUUAAGGUGGCGUGUUGCGCCGACGUGUCCGUGUUCUCCUGAUUGGUCCUGUGACCGCGGCGCUAACGACUGCUUCAGUCUCAGCUUCUGUACAAAGACAUGGUUUUUCUCUUGUACACAAAUGUGACUUUCAAUAAAGAUUUGAUGUUUUGUGUAUAAA